rnacentral:lncRNA from 1 species
AAAAUACUUCACGUUGUACAACUUCAAAGGCACAAAAUAGGCAGUGUCUUAGCAAUGCAGUGUUUUUCUGUGCUGAUGCACACUGCUAACAUUCAGAAAAAUAAUUUCUGAUUUCCAGAGACUCAGCAUCAAGUGGAGAACUUCUCCCCUUUCAUAGGAACAGACCUGGAGGAGGUAAGAGAGACCUAUGAUGCACUAACUGCAGAGCCUUGCAGCUUCAUAGCCAGACACGGGCCAAGUACAUCACACUGCCUAUCCCAAGUGGAUAGGCAGUGCCCAACUGCAUGUGACACCACUACUUGUCGAAGAUAAUUCAACAGUAUUUUGGAGUUUUGUUAUGCUUCCAUUUCUGGGAGACCAUCAUGUGCUGGUUGAAAGAAGACUGUUUUUUUUUUUUUUCUGAAUGUGCUGAAAGUCCAGCCUCGAAUAUUUGAAGUUGCUUUUGCCUCAACUUGAAAAGAUCCAACUACUAAAAACCCUCAUCAUGUGAAGUUAGUGCUUUGUAACACCUUCUUAAUGUUUGGUUUUUUUUCACCAGGUUGUCACUACUUAGUAAUUUAAUUAGGAAAAUGUUGCAGUUCUGACUGACUCAGAAGUGCUUUCUUUUUUAUUAUCUUUCUUGCUAUUUAUCUCAUUUCUUGUCAUUGUUUUACAUAACAAAAUAAUUGUUGUUCUUUUUUUUUCUUUUUUUUUUCUUUUCCAGAAGGCAUAAUAGAUAUUUUUAAAAAUGGUGCUGUCACAAAGACCUUAAAACAGUCUUGGCUAUUGCUAAGAUACCUCAGGCAAACAUUGAAAAAAAAAACAGGCAAAAUAUAUGAAGAAAGGUUGGAGGUGGCACAAGUUCUGCCAAAGCAAACAGUCAGAAAGGGAAAAACAAACACCCUCCUCCUGCUUCCCCAGAAUGCACAUGUAAAUUCAAUUGGAUUUACAAAUAAAUUUACUUUGGUUAUGCUUACACCUUUACAUGUGUACUUUACACUAGUGAUUGUCAACAUUUACUUAUGUAAAUACCAAAGACCUGUGAUUUUGAUUUUGUAUAUGCAAAUAUUUACCCUGGAAGUCUUGUAGUAGGAUAUCACACCUUUGGAACCACCUGCUGUCAGUGUUCACUUCCCACCAUGUGUCACAGCCUUCAAAAGGCAAAGGAGGCCAAAGCAAUGCUUGACCAUGGGUUUUGGGAGCAAGAUGGGGCAAGCAGUGCAACAUGCCUUGCAUCUGUGAUGUUAGAGCUAGAAAAUUGCGCAGCUGGAAUUUCAGUGAUACCCUUUGAAGAAUUUAUUUGACAUGGAAAGCUCAGAGCUUCCCUAAACUCUUUGCUGGAAUGAAAUGCUUGAGAUACAUAAGCAGUGUAUUAGGAAUCCUCCACUGAGCUGUGCAAACUGCUAAGGGAGAAUUACUUUUGAAUUCUUCAUGUUUCCCAGCCUGUUAUUGAAAGUGAUUUUGGAGAAAGGUGCAUCUAGCUCAAAAAAGGAACAUCCAACAUCAUCCAAGUGUCUUAUAAGGCCUCAUAUCUUGUUAUAUAAUCAAGAAAAUAAAAAUUGCAAGGAAGUUAUCUAGGUCAAUAUAUUUCAAAUUUAAUGUGUGGACCUCUACACACUUGUAGGGAACUAUUUACAGUUCCUUGAAAUACCAGAAGAAAAAAAAAAAAAAAGCAACAAAAAAACCACAACAAUGUAGAAGGUAGUUUUCUGAUGUAAUCAUAUAAAAGAGAUUUCAGCCUUCUUACUUGUAAGUCCAAACACAGGGCAAGUAGACUAUAAAAACGAUUCAGGGUCUACAUACUAGAUAUCAGGAAGAAAUUCUUUACUGUGAGGGUGGUGAGACACUGGAACAGGUUGCCCAGCGAGGCUGUGGAUGCCCCCUCCCUGGAAGCACCCAAGGCCAGGCUGGAUGGGGCUGUGAGCAACCUGGUGUAGAGGAAGGUGUCCCUGCCUACAGCAGGGGAUUGGAACUAGGUGAUCUUAAAGGUCCCUUCCAACCCAAACCAUUCUAUGAUUCUACAGUUCGCUCUACUUCUGAACCUCACAUAGUAAAAUGUCGUUUACUCUUUUAUCAUCUAUAUCUUUUUUUUUUUGUGUGUGUGUGUGUGUGUAUGAGUAUGGAGAUAAUGUAAUAUCACAAAGAACUUUAUAUAAGAUGAAAGCCUAUGAAGUAAAAAAAAGAUGUUGUGAU